rnacentral:tRNA from 1 species
GGUUAUAGCUCAGUGGUGGAGUGCUUGCCUUGCAUACACGAGGCCCUGGGUUUGAUCCUCAGCACCA